GGGACGGGAGGGGGCCGGUGCUCCGCCUGCCGCCCCAGAAUCACAGAACCCCGGAAUUGUUGGGGUUGGAAGGGACCUUUGGAGAGUCCAAGUUCAAUCCCCUGCCGAGGCACGGUCACCUGGAACAGGUGACACGGGAACGCAUACAGUUGGUUUGGAAUGUGUCCAGAGAGGGCAACUCCACACCCGCCCCAGGCAGCUCUUUCAGAGCUCUGCCACCCUCCAUGGAAAGUUCUUCCUGACGUUGCAGUAGAACUUCUUGCGCUUUAGUUCAUGGCCAUUGCUCCUCCUUGUGUCACUGGGCACCACUGAACAGAGGCUGGCACCAUUCUGUGACAUCCCUUGGAAAUAUUUGUAUGGAUCAGUGAGAUCCCCUCUCAGUUGUCUCUUUUCCACACUAAGCACGCCCACCUUGGGCAGUCUGUCGGCGUUCGAGAGAUGCUUCAGAUGCAGUACACCUCAUCAUCUCUGCAACCCUCUGCUGGACCCUCUCCAGCAGCUUCUUGUCUUUCUCGUACUGAGGGGCCUGGACCUGGCCACAGGACUCCAGCUGGUUCUUGCAGUUGUGUCGCAGUUGAAGUACAAACUCACAAUGUAAUGCUUCCAGGGGCUAGAGUGACUGAUGUGAGCGGAGAUCCCUGCAGUGAGGAAUAGCAAGGACAACCAUCCCUCCUGAUACAUCUGUUCCAAAAUUUAGACUUCACCAUCCUCAAGUUUUCUGUGGCAUGAUUCACCCAAACUCAAUAUUGACCUGCCUUCUGUAAAGGGAGCAAUUCUUGACAUAAAUAUUCUCUUGAUAUUUUCUCUUCCCAACUCUGUAAUUAAAGUCUUAAACUAACUUAUUCUAUCAUCCUGCAGCACAGGAAGAAGUCAGGAACAAACACAGAACAAUUACAAUAGAGAGGCAACUACACUUUAAAUGACUAGAAGAGAAACACAUAGUUUCCAGAAAACAGCAGUUUCCAGAGCCUUGCAUUGUACACAACUCCUCACUUUGAACCCCAAACCUCUCCUGCAGAUGCCAAAGUCGGCACAAAUACAAAAGCCUGUUUAACCCUUCCAAACACCCAUGGCAGCACCAAGCAGGCUGUGACUGGGAACCACUGCUUUCAAAAUCCCAUCCAGUCAAAUCAGGAGAAGAUUCUCAAUAAACUGAGAGAAUUAUUC